rnacentral:rRNA from 1 species
ACUCCUACGGGGGGCUGCAGUGGGGAAUAUUGGACAAUGGGCGAAAGCCUGAUCCAGCCAUGCCGCGUGAGUGACGAAGGUCUUCGGAUUGUAAAGCUCUUUCGACGGGGACGAUGAUGACGGUACCCGUAGAAGAAGCCCCGGCUAACUUCGUGCCAGCAGCCGCGGUAAUACGAAGGGGGCUAGCGUUGCUCGGAAUGACUGGGCGUAAAGGGCGCGUAGGCGGAUUGUACAGUCAGAUGUGAAAUUCCUGGGCUCAACCUGGGGGCUGCAUUUGAUACGUGCGAUCUUGAGUCCGGAAGAGGGUGGUGGAAUUCCCAGUGUAGAGGUGAAAUUCGUAGAUAUUGGGAAGAACACCGGUGGCGAAGGCGGCCACCUGGUCCGGUACUGACGCUGAGGCGCGAAAGCGUGGGGAGCAAACAGGAUUAGAUACCCGUGUAGUCAC